UACAUAAUUUCAAGUAGUUCAAUCAUUUGAUCCUUAGUUGAUGAAUUUGAUUGCAUAAGAAUAAAAUAUAUUUUUAAGGUUCAUAUACGUAGUGUAUUCCUAUACAAGCUUUUACAAUCUUAUGUUUAGUAAUAUUCUCAUACAAAUUUUUUUGUGCACCUUUGCGAGGUAAACCUGAUCGCGGUCAAGGCAUUGGAGGAGCAUGAAGCAACCCUGGAAGAGACAAGACAGGACAACUUUAAACCUUGCAUUGAUUAAUGAAUGUGCCCAAACGUUUUGGUGGGGGCGAAAUGAAGUAGACAAGUGAGAGAGGAAGUUAAUGGCGACUCUGAAGGGACCUAUCAUUUGCCAGCCUGCUCUUCAUGCAGCCCACACAAGAAUUUCCGCUCGAAUGGUAAAAAUCCCUUUAAAAAGGAUCACAAAUACGGAAGUAGUUUUCGACGCUCUACAAAAUUACGUGCUGGUACACUUGGAGGUUUUUUUUUUCAUAGAGAAUGUCAGUGGACAGGUGGUUUGUUCAUUACAAUCUCUGAUAUUCAUCUGAUGGAAAUGGAAGCACACAAGAGAACUUUGAUGAGAAUGAUGCUGAGUAUGUGAAUGCAACUGUAAUUGAAGCCGGUUAAAAUCACAAUGACUUUCACUCCAAUUUCUGGAGUCUGGCAGUUCUGAUGGGCAGCCGUGCAAAGAAACCAAAGAGCUUGACCUUAUUCGAAACAUGACUGCUGCUGUUGAAGAACGGUACGCAGAUGCAGUGGAACACACGGUCGAGAAGCAGCUUCAGCUUAGUGGAGAGACCAGCUUUUUCAGCUUCGGUCUAAGAAGAGGAAUUGUACAUCAUGAUUAACCUCUACAGAUUGGUAAACUCACAUUACGUUUGCAUCAUAUACUCACCCAUAAGUACGUUGUGCUUGUGCAAUAACUUAAUAUAUAUACACACACCAGGGUAUCAAGGAUUAUAGAUGAAUUUCUUUCUGUAACUACUAUUGUGAUAUGAUUCAUUAUGAUAUUUGUAAUGGUGAAAAUGUUUCUGUUCUAAUGUUGGGUGAAUUGUUGUCAUUUU